GCGGUCGUGGCGAAGUGGUGAACGCAUCGGAUUGUGGCUCCGACACUCGGGGGUUCGAUUCCCCUCGAUCGCCCCA
rnacentral:tRNA from 2 species